rnacentral:lncRNA from 10 species
UUUGAUGGGGCUUCCUUAUGAAUCAAGGUAUAUUUCUAGUCCACAGGGAUGGACUCUCCCUGCCAAGUGCCUUCAUGGGAACCAUGUGACAGUUAAAUUUGAUUCAUGCAAGAUGCUUCUCUGGGCAAAUUUCAUUGUGAAACCAUAGCAGUCAGAGACCAUACAUUGGAGCCCACAAUGUGUCAGAAGCAUGGCAUGCUCUGUGCAGCCUUUUUCAUCCUGUUUGCUUCCAUAUACAAAGUGUCUCUGCAUAUGAGUCCCAGGAGGUUUGGUGACUUUUUAAUAUUCCCCAGAGCUACCUUUCAAAGCAGCGAGGUUACUUGAGUUCCAGCCUAGAGGCUGGAUUCAAUGCUGAGCAGCAACUCUAGAGAGAAGAUGCAGACUGCAGCUGUUGUUUAGCAUCUUUGAGCAUUAACUAUUCUCACUCUCAGAAAAUGGAGUAUUUAGAGAGCAGUCACUGGAGGAGGCCAAAGGUUUUAGCAAGAGAACUGUUUUACAUUCAACAGCUAUUAAACAAGUCGCACCCUUCUUCCUGCAGUCUUUAAGUAUGGUCACUCAGUGGAGCUCAUGGGAAUAAAUACACUUGGAGGAGAUCAAAUCCCAGUGUUCCUGGUCUAUGGGGCAUGAGUUCCCCAGUUACUCUUUCUCCAAGCACUCAGCAAGGUGUGGUGAUUCUGAGCUCUGAACUGGAGGUUAGGAUAUUGAAGUUCAAAAUUCCAGCUCUGCCACUUACCUGCCAGUUGGCUCUGUCAGGGCUGUUGCUCCCUUGUUUACAGAACAAGGGCUGUCCCUAGAGUGACUCCCAGCUCCAGCGUUCUAGAAGACUGAGUUAGCUCUGAGUGUCAUUUCAAAUUCUGGAAACAAAGUAAUGACUGUUAAAAUUAGCAUACUUUGGUAACUUUGAGCAAGGGUCACAGACAUUGGCACUGGCUAGCAAAAUCUCAGAGCUAUGGAAUUUCACUCAAGUGCGAA